rnacentral:lncRNA from 1 species
UUUUUUUUUUUUUAGAGAGAGAGAGAGAGUGCAUGAGAGGGGUGGGGAAUGGGGAAGAUCAGAGGGAGAGGGAGAAGUAGACUCCCCACUGAGCAUGGAGCCCAACACAGAGCUUGAUCCCAGAACUCCCAUAUCAUGACUUGAGCAGAAUGCAGACACUUAACCAAAUGAAUCACCCAGGCGCUCCAAGAUAGAAUCUUAAGUAGGCUCCACAACAGCAUGGAGCCCAUUGUGGAGCUUGAUCUCAUGACCCUGAGAGCAUGACCGGAGCUGAAAUCAAGUCAGAUGCUUAACCAACUGAGCACCCUGCAGAUGACUUUUUUUUUUUUAAGAUUUUACUUAUUUGAGAGGGGAGGAGGGGCAGGGAGGGAGGGAGAGGGACAAGCAGACUCUAUGCAGAGCGUGGACCCCAGAGCAGGGCUCAAUCCCAGGACUGCAAGAUCAUGACCUGAGCCAAAAUCAAGAGUUGGCCACUCAACCACCUGAGACACCCAGGCACCCUGCAAAUGACUUUUUAAAAGAAUAAUUGAUCCUCAAAACUUCAUCACAUCUAAGAGUGAAACAAUUAUCAUUAACUAGUUCCAUUAAGGGCACAAUCUGCUUGUAACUCAACUCUUAGCUUAUCCUACUUUUCCAAACACUUGAAAAUAAAUGGUCUGAAAAUCAUUACAUAAAAUGACCACAAAAAAUAUAUAUAGUGUCCCAGUAAAAGUGAGAAAAUCAAAGAAACUCAACCCAUGGUAUUACUAUAAAAAUAUAGGCAUUGAUUUAAAAUAAACUCUAAAAGGUUGAUUUUUAAAGUUGCUGAUGACAGCUAAAAACACAGCUUUUAAAGCAAAUCUCAGAAAAUAUAUAAUUUGGGCUGGGUGUGUUUUUCUCACCACUCCCUCCCCACCAACUCAGUAUUACUGAUUAUUCAAAAAAUGGAAAGACAACCUCCAUAAACAUCCUUGGAAUGCUGCAAGUAUAAUGAAGUAAUUUAGGUAACUAAAAAAAAAAAAAAAAAAAUGGAUGAAGACAUAUUACAGGAAACUAAAAUAAAUAAGAGUACAAAAAAAAUUAGAGUCCACUUAAUGACAUUGGAGGGCCAUUAACUUUCAGAUUAAAAUGAAAUACUGAAAGAUCAUUGCUUUUGUAGUCCUGUCUUCAUCUAACAGCCUAUAAGACUUCUUUCAAUAUUUACUUAAACAUGUGAUACACAUAGAAAACGAAAAGCUAAAAUUAACAAAACACCAUACCUGACUAACUGUUGAGCUUAGUUUUUAAUGUCCCCUUACAAGGGAGACUUUUUUACGAAUAUAUAUUCUUAGAAUUUAGAGUACAGGACAAGGCCUACAGUUUCAACAAUAUCUGUGGGAUUAAAAAAAGGUGAAAGUAAACAAAAUUUUAAAGGCUGGUAGAUUCCCUAGAGAAAAGAUAUUUGUAAACUCAUUAUGGGAACAGUAUUGUGGGAACAGUAAUCUUACUAUAUAGAUCUAAGAGAAGUCAAAGGGAAAAAGAUCUUACUCCUUUAUGAGAUUUUGUUUUCAAACCUUUUUCAUGUCUCUUCUGAACCCUGACUUCCACUUCUUGACCUUGUCUGUAUCUCACUUGGGAUUGCACUCUCAUUGCACUCAUAAAUCUCCUCCAGUAAUUUAUAGCAAUUGAGGAAAUGCAUAUGAAUGUGUUUUACAAUUAUAUAUACAUAUUCUUUCCUUAAACUAUAACUUCUGAUUCUCAAGAGCUGCAACAUGGUAUAUAGUAGAAAGAAUAUUGAAGUCAAUCAGAAAAUCACUGUUGAGACCCAGGUCUGCCACUAUUUUUGUGAUCAUGGGCAAGUAACUUUUCAAAAGAAAAAGAACUAAAAUAGGGAUGCCUAGGUGGCUCAGUGGUUGAGGAUCUGCCUCUGGCUCAGGGCGUGAUCCCAGGUCCCGCAAAUGAGUCCCCUUUUCAGGCUCCCUACGAGGACCCUGCUUCUCCCUCUAUGUCUCUGCCUCUCUAUGUCUCUCAUGAAUAAAUAAAAUUUUUAGAAAAAAAAAAAAAAAACGAGAAU